rnacentral:rRNA from 1 species
GACGAACGCUGGCGGCGUGCUUAACACAUGCAAGUCGAACGGAAAGGCCCUGCUUUUGUGGGGUGCUCGAGUGGCGAACGGGUGAGUAACACGUGAGUAACCUGCCCUUGACUUUGGGAUAACUUCAGGAAACUGGGGCUAAUACCGGAUAGGAGCUCCUGCUGCAUGGGGGGGGUUGGAAAGUUUCGGCGGUUGGGGAUGGACUCGCGGCUUAUCAGCUUGUUGGUGGGGUAGUGGCUUACCAAGGCUUUGACGGGUAGCCGGCCUGAGAGGGUGACCGACCACAUUGGGACUGAGAUACGGCCCAGACUCCUACGGGAGGCAGCAGUGGGGAAUAUUGCACAAUGGGCGGAAGCCUGAUGCAGCAACGCCGCGUGCGGGAUGACGGCCUUCGGGUUGUAAACCGCUUUCGCCUGUGACGAAGCGUGAGUGACGGUAAUGGGUAAAGAAGCACCGGCUAACUACGUG